GACGAACGCUGGCGGCGUGCUUAACACAUGCAAGUCGAACGGAAAGGCCCUGCUUGCAGGGUACUCGAGUGGCGAACGGGUGAGUAACACGUGGGUGAUCUGCCCUGCACUUCGGGAUAAGCCUGGGAAACUGGGUCUAAUACCGGAUAGGAGACAUUUUUAGUGUGAUGGUUGGAAAGUUUUGUCGGUGUAGGAUGAGCUCGCGGCCUAUCAGCUUGUUGGUGGGGUAAUGGCCUACCAAGGCGGCGACGGGUAGCCGGCCUGAGAGGGUGGACGGCCACAUUGGGACUGAGAGACGGCCCAGACUCCUACGGGAGGCAGCAGUGGGGAAUAUUGCACAAGGGGCGCAAGCCUGAUGCAGCGACGCCGCGUGUGGGAUGACGGCCUUCGGGUUGUAAACUCCUUUCGCUAGGGACGAAGCUUUUUGUGACGGUACCUAGAGAAGAAGCACCGGCUAACUACGUG
rnacentral:rRNA from 1 species